rfam:Gossypium arboreum cultivar AKA8401 contig_5308_1, whole genome shotgun sequence.
UAUUAAAAUUUUCAUCCAUAUCUACUGUUCAAACCGUAUUGCUAAUAGAAUAACCAUAAAGUUACAUGUGACGUGUCAUGUGUACUUCAUUCUGACAUACAAUGACCAGUUUUUAAUAGUAGAUAUAGAUAAAAAUUUUAACA